AAGCGUACACGGUGGAUGCCUUGGCAGUCAGAGGCGAUGAAAGACGUAGUAACUUGCGAUAAGCCCAGAUUAGGUAGUAACAACCAUUUGAGUCUGGGAUUUCUGAAUGGGGAAACCCACGUGCAUAAGCACGUAUCCUUACCUGAAUACAUAGGGUAAGGAGGCGAACCGGGGGAACUGAAACAUCUAAGUACCCCGAGGAAAAGAAAUCAACCGAGAUUCCGAAAGUAGCGGCGAGCGAAAUUGGACUAGCCCUUAAGCUUUACACGCGUUAGACGAACGGUCUGGAAAGUCCGACGAUACAGGGUGAUAGUCCCGUAGUUGACGACGUGUGUUCAGUGAAAUCGAGUAGGGCGGGACACGUGAUAUCCUGUCUGAAUAUGGGGGGACCAUCCUCCAAGGCUAAAUACUACUGACUGACCGAUAGUGAACCAGUACCGUGAGGGAAAGGCGAAAAGAACCCCUGUGAGGGGAGUGAAAUAGAACCUGAAACCGUGUACGUACAAGCAGUAGGAGCAGGCUUUGUCCUGUGACUGCGUACCUUUUGUAUAAUGGGUCAGCGACUUAUAUUCAGUGGCAAGGUUAACCAUCUAGGGGAGCCGUAGGGAAACCGAGUCUUAACUGGGCGUUCAGUCUCUGGAUAUAGACCCGAAACCAGGUGAUCUAGCCAUGGGCAGGUUGAAGGUUGAGUAACAUCAACUGGAGGACCGAACCGACUAAUGUUGAAAAAUUAGCGGAUGACUUGUGGCUAGGGGUGAAAGGCCAAUCAAACCUGGAGAUAGCUGGUUCUCCCCGAAAGCUAUUUAGGUAGCGCCUCGGACGAAUACUACUGGGGGUAGAGCACUGUUAAGGCUAGGGGGUCAUCCCGACUUACCAACCCUUUGCAAACUCCGAAUACCAGUAAGUACUAUCCGGGAGACACACGGCGGGUGCUAACGUCCGUCGUGGAGAGGGAAACAACCCAGACCGCCAGCUAAGGUCCCAAAUUACUACUAAGUGGGAAACGAUGUGGGAAGGCUCAGACAGCCAGGAUGUUGGCUUAGAAGCAGCCAUCAUUUAAAGAAAGCGUAAUAGCUCACUGGUCGAGUCGGCCUGCGCGGAAGAUGUAACGGGGCUAAGUA
rnacentral:rRNA from 1 species